GACGAACGCUGGCGGCGUGCUUAACACAUGCAAGUCGAACGGAAAGGCCCUGCUUUUGUGGGGUGCUCGAGUGGCGAACGGGUGAGUAACACGUGAGUAACCUGCCCUUGACUUUGGGAUAACUUCAGGAAACUGGGGCUAAUACCGGAUAGGAGCUCCUGCUGCAUGGUGGGGGUUGGAAAGUUUCGGCGGUUGGGGAUGGACUCGCGGCUUAUCAGCUUGUUGGUGGGGUAGUGGCUUACCAAGGCUUUGACGGGUAGCCGGCCUGAGAGGGUGACCGGCGACAUUGGGACUGAGAGACGGCCCAGACUCCUACGGGAGGCAGCGGUGGGGAAUAUUGCACAAUGGGCGGAAGCCUGAUGCAGCGACGCCGCGUGCGGGAUGACGGCCUUCGGGGUGUAAACCGCUUUCGCCUGUGACGAAGCGUGAGUGACGGUAAUGGGUAAAGAAGCACCGGCUAACUACGUG
rnacentral:rRNA from 1 species